AGAACACACAACAUGAGAUGAGGAAAGCAGAGUCAGGAAACAACCUUAGCAACAAGGAAAAGGAGAGCAUAACUGCACUGCUGUCCUACGCCUUACGUGUGUUAUGCUCUAUGGAGGUGGACUGGCUGUGUUGCUUGCAGUCUGCUAAGGACCAUCAGAAAAUGAAACAGAGGCCUGAAUGGGGUUGACUUUGGUUUUGGCGUGAACAAAAGUUCCAGAAUUCUUAAGGCAAAAGUAAACAAACUUAAUUCAAAAAAUUACAUAGGCCAGUGUUUCAGCUCAAGCUAAAGACAUUCUCAGAACUGUUCCAUCUGCAGAGAGAAUUCAUUUAGGUUUCCGCUGGGCUCGUGCAAUUGAAUUCUUCGCAGUGAUAGCCAAGUUGCACUGGGGAUAGAGAAUUUCCUUUCUGAAGACUGCUCCAAGAAAACCACUAAGACGAAAAUGGAUGAGGGCACAAAUUAAAUUGUGGCGCAGCUUUAAAGCAGUUGUGAUGUGUUGCAAGAUAAUCCAGUCUUCCUUAAGUACAUAUUUAGUAUCGUGGUGAAGGUUGAGUGAAACAACAUUGAUGCUGCUAGCCAGCCUCCUCAGAAAGGGCAAACAGAAGAGGCAUUUAAAGUCCUUUUUCAGUAUAAGGCUCAUAAGACGGCUGAAACAAAUUAGUCACUAUACAAAACUCUGUCCCUAUGCAAGCCUAAUCAGAAGCUGAGCUACACAAUGAAGGACGUCUGCUGGGAGAGGUCUAUAAAUUCAUCUGAACUUCAUAUUGUUUGGUAAAAGUGCUCCUGUGUUUAUGGCCAGAAGCAGCUAAAUACAAGCAAAGAAGCCAGAAAGCCAGCAAGACAAGUACUUGAUGUUUGAAAGAAAACCAACUCAUGGAAUGAGGGGGACAGAGCAUCAACUGGAAAAAAAAAAAAAAAAGGCUUGUAUCUGUGAGCAAAGAAAUGCCUUAUCUUGUUUGACCUAUGUCCAGUUCACAGAAUCAGAAUGUUACUUGUACUCCUGGUUUAAAAAAAAAGAAAAAAAAAGAAUAACAUUUUAAAAAGUAUAUACAGAUAUAUAUAUUCUGUCAUCAUUGAAACAGUGUGCAAAAGCAUGAAUGUUGGCUACCUGCUCUGUGAAAACAGUAACAAUGGUGUUAGUAGUGAAAUCCUUUUUGAAGAGGAAAAAAAAGGUAUCCCCAUGGGAAGAAAUUGUGAGCUGAGAUUCCAACUGAGCAUGCUAAAUUCAAAGAUAGCCAAAGGUGCUUUCCAGUUAGAGGCUGAAACUUAACAAAAAUUAAAACAGUAUCUAGAACAAACAAGAAUUAAAACAGUAUCUAGAAACUUCCCAGAAAACAUUUGGAAGAAAAAAAAAGGAAAAGAAAGAGGAAAACACCUCAGUUUCUCAGCCACAAAUUGUCUAGAUUCAUUAGGAAGGCCAAUAACAACAUAGCCAUUAUUUAGCAGUAAAAAGAAAUCAAAAAGGUGAUCAGCAAUCUGGGUGUUGUGGAUCAUAGGGUUUCCUAGAAAAUAAGGGAAACUAAGAAAAAUGUAGCCAAAUUUGAACUUGCUAAAAAAGUUGAGUUUCAGCAACGACUCAAGGAGCAGAUGGUUCACACUGAGAAGAAAAUCAAAAGAUCACAGACCUCACUGGCAGUUAGCCCAUGUGGAUGGAGCUGGGCCAGCUGGAGAACUGUAGUAAGACAGAGCAAUCACAGUGUUUUUCUAGUACAUCUGUAACUCUCAGAGUGGAGAAUUUGGAUUGUCAGAGGCUUCAAUUUGCUUCAACUGCCCAGACCUCACUGCAGACUGCAAGGGUGAUCUUUGUACCCUUCAUCGUGAUAGUCCAUCACGAUUUCCUGAACUGGUUUAGAAGAUGCUCAGUGAGAAAUCAGUAAACUACAUUGUUAGUAGAAUUUCCAAAAUAGUACCAGAUCUGAGUGUUUAAAAGCAUAUUACUCAGAAAUCCAAGGAGGGUUCUUUUUUUUUUUGUUACUUGAAGAAGAGAUAAGGCAUCUAUAAAAUUCCCCAAGCCCAAAUCUGAAUCUGAUGGAACAGUGGAUAGGCUCAACAGCUGGCUACCCUUUUAAAACAUCAGCAGUGGGACAAGUCCCAGCACAUACCAUCCUUUGGUCGUUUGUUAGCACCACAUUCCAUCACAGCACAAAACAUGCCCUAACCCUCCCAGAUCUUUGGUAUAAGCUAAGGAACAGCUGAAGUGGUAACUGCUGGAGAGGAAACAUGGCAUUUGGACCACUUGCAUUGUACUGACAUUUGCAAUCGCCAAUUUUGAAAAGUUUACAGCAUUUGCUAAAUAAAAAGUAGAGACAGACUAAUGAAAAAGAAGAGAGCAAGACAUAAUGUUGCGUACAGGAGCUUUAAAACCAGGCUACCUGGUCUGUUUCCUGAGGGGGAAGGGAGCGGGGGACGUGGAGUGUUAUACAGCUUUAGGUUCUAAGCAUUACGUUUGUGUAAUCCUGCCCAGCGGAGCACUAACAAGCAGAUAGCCAGACCCCUCUGGUCUUUCAGGUAUUUCAUAUCCAGACAGUAUAAGUGCUUAGAGGUCCAUAAGCAAAAUGGGUGCCAGGUUGAUGGGGAGUUAACUGGUGGCUGACCAGGCAGCUGGCACUGUUCUAGACCUCAAACCACAUCUUAACAAUUCAGUCCCAGUACAGAACACAUUACCCCCAGAACUAUCUGAGAAAGGAGCAGGAAGGUAAUAACUCACCAGGACUACAUUCUAAAACCAGACAUGAAUACAAAACACCAACUUCAGCAUUCUAUAUUUGCAGUCUCAGGGUAGGCAUAUCCAUUCUCAAAAAUAAGUAAACAAAAGAGAGUACUGAAGAAACUAGUAUUUUGUAGAACGACUGGUAAUCACUGGAAACAAAUAGCGCUAUUCUUUUGAUGCUUAUCCCUGUAAAAGU